CCUACGGGUGGCAGCAGUGGGGAAUAUUGAACAAUGGGCGCAAGCCUGAUGCAGCCAUGCCGCGUGUGUGAAGAAGGCCUUCGGGUUGUAAAGCACUUUCAGCGGGGAGGAAGGCGUUAAGGUUAAUAACCUUGGCGAUUGACGUUACCCGCAGAAGAAGCACCGGCUAACUCCGUGCCAGCAGCCGCGGUAAUACGGAGGGUGCAAGCGUUAAUCGGAAUUACUGGGCGUAAAGCGCACGCAGGCGGUCUGUCAAGUCGGAUGUGAAAUCCCCGGGCUCAACCUGGGAACUGCAUUCGAAACUGGCAGGCUAGAGUCUUGUAGAGGGGGGUAGAAUUCCAGGUGUAGCGGUGAAAUGCGUAGAGAUCUGGAGGAAUACCGGUGGCGAAGGCGGCCCCCUGGACAAAGACUGACGCUCAGGUGCGAAAGCGUGGGGAGCAAACAGGAUUAGAUACCCGUGUAGUC
rnacentral:rRNA from 1 species